rnacentral:tRNA from 1 species
AGUGUUGUGCCUGACUAAAGGAUUAUCGUGAUAGGAUAAAUUAUGUAAUUCAAUUACCAUCACUA